rnacentral:lncRNA from 1 species
UUCAUUAAUUUAUAGAUUAUUGAUUCUGGAUAUCAGGCAGUUAACAUGUGUACAGCUGUAAUAAUUAAUAAGCAGACACGCUCUGAAUUACAACUAGACCUGAUAAAUCGGCACGUGUUCCCCAACAACCUCCGGCACCAUCGCCACCACCGCCGCCAUCGCCUCCGCUCCCGCCGCCACCGCCACCAUCGCCGCCACCACCGCAACGGCCGCCACCGAAACAUCCGCCGCCGCCGCCUCUGCCCCCUCAACCAUUGCCACCACCCCAUCUACCCCAACCUCCAGCAGUACCAGGGUCUCUCGCCGCCACUCGUGUUGAUAACCAGAUCACUCCCACGUCUUCUACCCUGCCCAGUUGAUCCAUCAUCACCACCGGUAAAAGACAACCAUGGUUAUGACUGCGAUGGAUGCCGCAAUCAUGCAGCAAAACAAGAACAAAUUAACUUGUUGGAAAUUGGAAUAGAGCAUUACCGCUGCUGCUGCCACCGGAGAGAACUUCUGCCAUUCUCGCCACCUCUUCCUCUACCUCUCUCAACAGCAAUUCUUUAAGCUCUCUGUGACCUCCAACUCCAAGUCUUCCCAUGCUGCCUUCUGCAAUACUCU